CACACACACACACAAACAAUAUUACGCAUUUUUUUACCCAAUGUCGGAAUCUCAUACUUUAUUUCUCACUGUGGUUAACAAUCUGAAGCGUUUUGUGAGAAACUUUCCGCUGCGUUGAUCCGCAAAUCUUUGAUGGCUGCUAUCAAAGCUCUACUAAUUCGUUACAAAAGUUACCGAUUCUACAUAUUAAUAUCACAUGAAAAGCAAUUGAACGAUAAUGUAGAUUAAAAACGCAUUCAAAUGAACAUUUCCAAGGCCCUGUUGGAGCGGUUUAAACGAAACGAGUGGAACUUUUUGCGUUGAUUAAUAACUGUUGAUGAAACUUGAAUCCAUUACUUCACUCUUGAACCGAAGAAACAAUCAAAACAGUGAACUGCGAAGAGUGAACUUGCUCCGAAGAAGGCGAAGAUAGUUUCAUUGGCCGGGAAGGUGAUAGCGAUUGUUUUUAGGAUAAUCAUGGAAUUGUGUUCAUCGAUUAUCUUGAAAAAGGUAAAGUAACGGAGGUAUACUACGCAUCAUUAAUUGACAAACUGAAGAGAACAGAAAUUGCGAAAAAAUAGCCACAUUUGAAGAAGAAGAAAAUGCUGUUCCAUCAAGAUAACGCACCAGUGAAGAAGAAAGUGCUAUUCCAUCAAGACGAUAAAAGAUAAUCAAGUGCUGUUCCAUCAAGAAGAUAACUCACACUUCGAUGGUUGCCAUGGCAAAAAUUCAAAAUUGUCAUGGCGGUUCGAAUUGAUUGACUAUCCACUGUAUUUACCAGAUCUGGCUCCUAGCAACUUUUUCCUGUUUUCUAGGUUCAGGGGACAGAAAUUUUCGUCGAACGAGGAGGUCAUCGUAUCCAUAGGAGCCUAUUUUGCAGAGCAAGACGCUAACUAUUAUUUGAAUGGGUUAAAGGGGUGGGAGCAUCGCUGGGAAAAGUGUAAUGACAUAAAAGAAGAUUAUGUUGAAAAAUGACCCUCGUACACACUGUUACGUCCAGCCCAAAGAAAAUUAAGAAAUUAAGAAAUGAAUGAAAUAUGAAUGGACGAUAUAGCUGCUCUCCCGAGAGUCAAACAUUGAAACGUGCAUCCUCGUCAAAACACACUGUUUGUCUUGGCACUGGGUCAGCGUUGAGGCAAUGCUAUGACACCGUAGUGUAAACGUACGUUCGUUGGUCUUUUUAGGUCAUUAAACUUAAUUCUUUUGCACGGGCGCGCGCGCGCGCGCGUGUGUGUGUGUGUGUGUGUAUGUAUGUGUGUAUCGCGAUUUAGAAGAGUAUGAAGGUCGAGUAGGAAUUCUCGGGGAAAUUGAUCUUAUUUCGUUAGUUAGGCGAGAGUGUAAGAUCCUGCUCGGUUACAAUAAUUCAUCAAUUAAUUUAACAUCAUAACUUAAUAACAUCAUUGUCAUGAGAUAAUGUAUAAAGGUAAAUGAAAUUAACAUUGGAGAGUUAAAGGGGGGAGUAGUGUUGAGUUUCCUCUGAGAUCAUCAAAUUGGGAGGAUUCAUCUAAAUUGAGUGGAAAGAAUUGGUCGUCAUGGAGCCAAAGACCAAGGGAUAAGACACUGAAAUUGAUUGUGGGAGAUUGUGGUUCGGAUCGGUGUACCGUGGAAUAGCUAAGCUCUAUCGCAUAAAUUAAACGUUCCAGCGAGUCGGAAGGCAAAUCAGGGAAAAAUUGAGAGAAAAGAUCAGAGGGGGAUUUUGGAACUGGAACGAGUGAGCCUAAUUGUAACGGUUCAGCUGGUUCUGUCAACGUUUGAUUUGAUUGUAUAGCGGUGUUCUUGGCCGCGCGUUGAGCUCGAGCGUUUCGGCGAUUUCGCAAAUGUUUAAGGGAGCGUUUAGACCGUGGAGUCUUUGAUCACUGUGACGAGAAAAGGUGGAUAAGUAAAGAGAGGCGAGAGGCAUUUUUAAAAAAAAGGAGGGGGAAGAGAAUAUGAAAAAAGAUUCAUCGAUUAUUAAGUAACUAUGAACCUUCAAAGGAAAUUCGGAAAUCCGAGAGGUCUACAGCGCUUAGUAGGAAAGAUUUGCCGAUUAUUCAACUACCAUGAACUUUCAAGGGUCUUUAACGAAAUUCGGAAACCCGAGAAGUUCACAGCGAUUAAGUAAGAGAGAGCGAAGGUAAAAAGAAAUAAGAAGAGAUCCAAGAUAACAAAUUAUUGGAACUUUUCAACUUACUAUUUUGCUGAAUUUGGGAAAGCGAUGUGUGUGCAUGAGUGGCGUCGCCGGGAAGACUCUAGGUCACUUGUAGAGAUUGCUUUUCGAAAUCGGAGUGUAUACUGGGAGUACGUUGUGAGUGAACCGAACGAAUCGAAUGAAUUGUCUGAACUAAACAUUGCUCUCGAAAGGUCCUGUAUACACGGUUCUAAUGAGGAAAAUUUUUAUGUUUUUUUAUUUCGUCAUUGCUGUCUACGUGAUUGUACGCAUAUUAUAUAUAACUGUACGCAUAGCGAUUUUGAAAAGUUUAGUCAUGUGUUUAUUCUUAAAAUAUUUUUUUAUUUUAUCAUUGCUAUCUAUGUGAUCAACUUCAACGCGUACAGAGUUUAAGAAGUUUAGACAUAGGUUUAUUUAUGAGAUAAAGUCAAUGAUCGGCGGCCCGCGUUUUAUAGAUUUGACAGUAGAUUUUGAUGAUUCAUAAAAAACAAGUUUUGACAUUUGAUAAUGAAACAAAAAUUUGGAAAUAAUGGAUCAUUCUCUAAAGAAGAGAAUCGUGUAGUCGUAACAAUACAUCACUCCGAAGAUUUAAUCGCUAGCUAUUAUGUGCGAGACGCAAUGUUAAGGAAUGAAGUAAAGAGAAUGAACUGUCUUGAGAUUGAACUUUUAUUUAAGACACAAUACACUUAAUGAAUCGAGAUGUGGUGUUUUUACUUCAAGUUUCUGACGAAAACUGAACUUUGUGCGCAAGAUGGAUCUUUGUUCAAGACGAGAUAGACGGUAUUUUUGUUAAUACAAGAAUCAAUAAUGUAACACGUUUUGAUACGGAACAUGGUGAAUGAAGUGGUUUUCUAAAAGGGAAAUCGUGAGAAUGUAUUGAUAUGUGUUGCGAUGAUUUGUUUCGAUAGGACUAGUAAUAUAUCUCGCAAUCUGUCACGGCGUGAAAGUUUGUCAGGGUGAUUGUCUGGCCUUAUUUGUUGAGAGAAAAGAAAAGAAUUUAAAAUUAUUUUAGUAUUGGUUAGUAUUGGUUAGUAUUUACUUAAAAUCUACUUGACAAAAAAGGGGGGUAAGA
rnacentral:lncRNA from 1 species